rnacentral:rRNA from 1 species
ACGCUCGACACCUACGGGAGGUAGCAGUGGGGAAUAUUGCACAAUGGGGGAAACCCUGAUGCAGCGACGCCGCGUGAGCGAAGAAGUAUUUCGGUAUGUAAAGCUCUAUCAGCAGGGAAGAAAAUGACGGUACCUGACUAAGAAGCACCGGCUAAAUACGUGCCAGCAGCCGACGGUAAUCUGAGCGGGCUGGCAAGGC